AAUAAGUACAGUCAUGAGUUUUCACGCUCAACUUUAAUCGUCUAUCUUACUUAAAAUUUUUUUAUAAAUAACAUUUUUAUUAUUAUAAGAUGAUAAAACAUAAAUAGUAUUUUACUCGUGACUUAUGUUUUUAACUUUUUUUUAAAAAAAAUAAAUAAGACGAAUAGUCAAAGUUGGACGCGGAAAAUUAUAGGUACUUAUU
rfam:Oryza meridionalis cultivar OR44 (W2112) chromosome 3, whole genome shotgun sequence.